GCCUGGGGCUAGCUCAGUUGGUAGAGCAUCAGACUUUUAAUCUGAGGGUCCAGGGUUCAAGUCCCUGGUCCAGGUG